rnacentral:rRNA from 1 species
UAGAGUUUGAUCNUGGCUCAGGACGAACGCUGGCGGCGUGCCUAAUACAUGCAAGUCGAACGCACGAAGUUGAAGAGCUUGCUCUUUAACCAAGUGAGUGGCGGACGGGUGAGUAACACGUGGGUAACCUGCCCAUUAGAGGGGGAUAACAUUCGGAAACGGAUGCUAAUACCGCAUAGUUUCAGGAAUCGCAUGAUUCUUGAAGGAAAGGUGGCUUCGGCUANCACUAAUGGAUGGACCCGCGGCGUAUUAGCUAGUUGGUGAGGUAAUGGCUCACCAAGGCAAUGAUACGUAGCCGACCUGAGAGGGUGAUCGGCCACACUGGAC